CAGCCACGGGCUAAAGACUACGGGCUGCAACUUCCGGUCCUCCGCGGGCCCCAUCGACCUCACUCCUAGAGUGCAAGGGAUCGGCGCGGGCCUUAUCUCCCAACAGCCCGAGCUCGGGCCACUGCACGCCAUAGUCCCAGAGCGCUGCGCGAGUGGCCGGCUGUGGCGGCUCGGGGUGCGCCCCUGCUGACAGCGUCUUUCAGCGGGAACGCCCUGGAGAGGACGAGUGGUGACCGAACAGCUACUACGGUGGGACCAAUCCGAUGUCGCCUUGGUUCCCACGCUGUCUUCCUGGGGAGCGUUAGGUCGCCCUGGCAGCGUGUGGCUCCGCGUCUGGGGCUGAGCUGAGUGCGGUUACCCAAGGCCAGGUCCUGGUUUCCGGGAGCCACUCAUUAGAAGCCUAUCCCACCUCUGCCUGUUGACAAUAUAAAUGUUCAUUUGGGUCUCCCUUGGAAGCCUCAUACAGAGGUUUAUCAAGUAGCCUGAGAUCGGCUCUCCAUAAGCAAAGAAAGCCCGCGAGCCCCAGAAAAGACAGGAUCUCGGCUUUGGAGGAAGGGAUUGGGAAGUCCCGAAUAAGCUGUUUAGGGUCCAAGGUGAGCUCUCAUUGUUGAUAUGAGACCUUAACCCCGAGAUAUUGUACUGUGUGUUGGGAGAGUUGGGCCUUGUCCUUUGAGACCCAGUAUCCCUUUUUACACAAGAAGUUAAGUAAUGAGGCUGUGUGUUGUUGGGAGAGUUCAAGAGUGGGACUGCACAAAAGCAAGUCAUCUACAUAUUGGAGUAGCUUAGAGGGAGACAGGUCUAAUUUUAAGAGGUCAGCAGCCAAGGCCUGUCCAAAGAGGUGUGGACUAUCCUGAAAACACUGUGGGAGGACCGUCCAAGUAAGUUGAUCGGAGUGUCCUGUAUCAGGGUCAGUCCAUGUAAAUGCAAAGAGGUCUUGUGAGUUGGGGUGUAAGGAAAUGGUGAAAAAGGCAUCUUUGAGGUCUAGAACCAUGAAAUGAUGUGAAGAGGAGGAGAUAUAGGACAGCAGAGUGUAGGGGUUAGGAACAACAGAG
ensembl:lncRNA